UAAUACGUAGGGUGCAAGCGUUAAUCGGAAUUACUGGGCGUAAAGCGUGCGCAGGCGGUUAUGUAAGACAGAUGUGAAAUCCCCGGGCUUAACCUGGGAACUGCAUUUGUGACUGCAUAGCUUGAGUGCGGUAGAGGGGGGUAGAAUUCCACGUGUAGCAGUGAAAUGCGUAGAGAUGUGGAGGAAUACCGAUGGCGAAGGCAGCCCCCUGGGCCGUAACUGACGCUCAUGCACGAAAGCGUGGGGAGCAAACAGG
rnacentral:rRNA from 1 species